UACAGAGGUCCCAAGCGUUGUUCGGAUUCACUGGGCGUAAAGGGUGCGUAGGUGGUCGGGUAAGUCUGAUGUGAAAUCUCGGAGCUCAACUCCGAAACGGCAUUGGAUACUAUUCGGCUGGAGGGUUGGAGGGGGGACUGGAAUUCUCGGUGUAGCAGUGAAAUGCGUAGAUAUCGAGAGGAACACCAGUGGCGAAGGCGAGUCCCUGGACAACUCCUGACACUAAGGCACGAAAGCCAGGGGAGCAAACAGGAUUAGAUACCCUGGUAGUCCUGGCUGUAAACGGUGCACGUUUGCUGUAAAAGGAAUCGACCCCUUUUGUGGCGUAGCCAACGCGUUAAACGUGCCGCCUGGGAAGUACGGUCGCAAGAUUAAAACUCAAA
rnacentral:rRNA from 1 species